rnacentral:snRNA from 1 species
AUUGCUUCUUGGCCUUUUGGCUAAGAUCAAGUGUUAAGAGUCUUAACUAUAUUUUCUGUUGGACUGAAGGUUCUAAUGAUGCAACCAGACCCUUCACUGAUAGAUAGAUAGACAUAUCUAACAUAUAGAUUUCUU